rnacentral:rRNA from 1 species
UACGAAGGGUGCAAGCGUUACUCGGAAUUACUGGCGUAAAGCGUGCGUAGGCGGUUUGUUAAGUCCGCUGUGAAAGCCCUGGGCUCAACCUGGGAAUUGCAGUGGAUACUGGCAGCUAGAGUGCGGUAGAGGAUGGUGGAAUUCCCGGUGUAGCGGUGAAAUGCGUAGAGAUCGGGAGGAACACCCGUGGCGAAGGCGGCCAUCUGGACCAGCACUGACGCUGAGGCACGAA